GUUUCCAUGGGAACUCACAAAAUCCUUAAAAAGCCCUAAACAUGGGAGAUAGGUGUAACUGGGUGAAAGGAAAACUGAAGAAUAGACUGAUGAUGUAGCAUCUUUAGGAAACUCCAAGAAGCUACCCCCGACGACUGGACUAUUCACUUGCUGUUUCUAAAGCAAUCAACAGAAUUGGCAUACAAUGUGUGGAUAACUAAUAGUUGGCAAUUAUGUGUAUUAGUGAGCAUCAGCUGAAUCUACCCUGAAAAGCACAAUUUGUAACAUUUAUUCCACCUGGUGAUAUCUAAGGAGAACCAAGAGAUAUUUAGUAAAUUAUCAGCUUCUA